AGUUCGGAUUGGAGUCUGCAACCCGACUCCAUGAAGCUGGAUUCGCUAGUAAUCGCGCAUCAGCCACGGCGCGGUGAAUACGUUCCCGGGCCUUGUACACACCGCCCGUCAAGCCAUGGAAGCCGGGAGUGCCUGAAGUGCGUGAGCGCAAGCAGCGCCCUAAGGUAAAACCGGUGACUGGGGCUAAGUCGUAACAAGGUAGC
rnacentral:rRNA from 1 species